rnacentral:rRNA from 1 species
CACUCCUGCGGGAGGCAGCAGUGGGGAAUUUUGGACAAUGGGCGAAAGCCUGAUCCAGCAAUGCCGCGUGUGUGAAGAAGGCCUUCGGGUUGUAAAGCACUUUUGUCCGGAAAGAAAUCCUUGGCUCUAAUACAGUCGGGGGAUGACGGUACCGGAAGAAUAAGCACCGGCCAACUACGUGCCAGCAGCCGCGGUAAUACGUAGGGUGCGAGCGUUAAUCGGAAUUACUGGGCGUAAAGCGUGCGCAGGCGGUUUGCUAAGACCGAUGUGAAAUCCCCGGGCUCAACCUGGGAACUGCAUUGGUGACUGGCAGGCUAGAGUAUGGCAGAGGGGGGUAGAAUUCCACGUGUAGCAGUGAAAUGCGUAGAGAUGUGGAGGAAUACCGAUGGCGAAGGCAGCCCCCUGGGCCAAUACUGACGCUCAUGCACGAAAGCGUGGGGAGCAAACAGGAUUAGAUACCCUUGUAGUCCC